AGGCGCUUGGGUUUGGAGACGCACGAAACUGGGUUCUUUGAGCUCAGUUGCUCCCCGUGAAUUUGGAAUAAUGCACUAUCCAGAGCAUUUUCUCGAAUUAGGAGUUAAUUCGAUCCAGUGCGCCUUCCUCGGCACACUAGAAGACGGAAGCUCAAUGAGAUUAAGAAGUUUGCCCACGGUCAGACAGCUAGAAAGUGCCCGAACUGGGAGUUGAAGUUCAUUUGCGAGUGACCAGGAAUCAAAAUGGGAUCCCAGCACAGUACAAGACCAUGAAAGAAGUCUUGGCUGCAAGUGGAAUUCCUCUACCCACCAUUGGAAGAAGGAUGGUCCCAGCCAUCCGGUCACCCUCCAAUUUCCAAACCCAUGACCCACUCACCGCCAGCCACUGUCAUUCACGUAGCCAUUCUACCGGUUGCUUUCAUCCUUUCAUCCUCCCUGCCGUGGCUACCCAAGCCCUCCCUGACCCAACACACCAAGCUCAAAGACAAGCAGAGACAGGGGCACACAGAGGGAAAGGAAAACAGUUCCUCACAGCCCGCACAACAUGGAGUCUACAGACAGAGGAGAGGAAGCAGAGCUGUCCCCCCUUGGCCCUGGGGAAGGGGUGAUGAGAAGAAGGUAACACAGAAGAGAAGGGCAGACAGGAAGGGCGGGGGCGUGAGCAGAGAGAGGACAUGUUGGGGGAGAGGGCAAGCACUGGGGGAGAGGCCGUCCUUGCAGCUCUAGAGCGAGGGGAGAGUGAAGGAAGGUUUCACUUCAGGCUCAAGAGAGCCUGGAGCCACCAUAGCAACCUCCUGUCUGGCUCUGGAGAGCUCAAGAGAUGGGGUGGAACAGGAGGAGGGGAACAGCUGAGAACCAGGGAGAUUUCUACUCCUCAGCUCAAGGGGGAGGCCUUAAAAAGGAGCAAGCAGCAGCAGAGGACAGCUAAGGGCACAGGAGCUUCCUCCUUGGGAGCUCAGGAGAGCAGAAGAGGCCACAGUGGGGAGAGGAGGGAGUGCAAGGUGUGAGGACUUUUCCCUGCCCCAGUAGAGGUAUGGGGAGCCUGGCAGAGACUAGGGGCAG